rnacentral:snRNA from 1 species
GUGCUCACUUUGGCAGCACAUAUACUAAAAUUGGAAUGAUAGAGAGAAGAUUAGCAUGGCCCCUGAACAAGGAUGACACACAAAUUCGUGACGCGUUCUAUAUUAAA